CCAGACUCCUACGGGAGGCAGCAGUGAGGAAUAUUGGUCAAUGGACGCAAGUCUGAACCAGCCAUGCCGCGUGCAGGAAGAAGGUGCUAUGCAUUGUAAACUGCUUUUAUACGGGGGUAAUUACAGAUACGUGUAUCUGGAUGAAAGUACCGUAUGAAUAAGGAUCGGCUAACUCCGUGCCAGCAGCCGCGGUAAUACGGGGGAUGCAAGCGUUAUCCGGAUUUAUUGGGUUUAAAGGGUGCGUAGGCUGUGAGGUAAGUCAGCGGUGAAAUGCCCCCGCUCAACGGGGUGAAGUGCCAUUGAUACUGCCUUGCUGGAAUGCGGAUGCCGUGGGAGGAAUGUGUGGUGUAGCGGUGAAAUGCAUAGAUAUCACACAGAACACCGAUUGCGAAGGCAUCUCACGAAUCCGCGAUUGACGCUGGUGCACGAAAGCGUGGGUAUCAAACAGGAUUAGAUACCCUCGUAA
rnacentral:rRNA from 1 species